rnacentral:rRNA from 1 species
AGAGUUUGAUCCUGGCUCAGGAUGAACGCUGGCGGUGUGGAUAAGGCAUGCAAGUCGAACGAACCUUGUCUUUCGGAUCGAUAAAGUUGAGUGGAGUAGCAAUACAAUACAAAACGAUAUUUUGAAGAAGGACGCUGGUUAGUGGCGAACGAGGUAGUAACACGUAGGAAUCUCCCCCUAAGUCGUGAAUAACUCAUCGAAAGAUGGGCUAAUACACGAUGGUCUCGAAAGAGUAAAGUUUUAACGCUUAGGGAAGAGCCUGCGGGAUAUCAGCUAGUUGGUAGUGUAAUGGACUACCAAGGCUAUGACGUCUAGGGGAGGUGAGAGCCUGACCCCCACCGAUGGGACUGAGACACGGCCCAUACACCUACGGGUGGCUGCAGUCGAGAAUCUUCGGCAAUGGGCGAAAGCCUGACCGAGCGACACCGCGUGAUUGAUGAAGCGCUUCGGCGUGUAAAGAUCUUUUAUGAGGGAAGAAGUUUAUUGACGGUACCUCAUGAAUAAGGGGCUCCUAACUCUGUGCCAGCAGGAGCGGUAAUACAGAGGCCCCGAGCGUUAUCCGGAAUUAUUGGGCGUAAAGGGUGCGUAGGCGGCAUUGUUAGUCUUUUGUUAAAUCUCCGGGCUUAACCUGGAAACCGCAAAGGAAACGGCAUUGCUAGAGUUUGUGAGAGGUGUGCAGAACUCAUGGUGUAGGGGUGAAAUCCGUUGAUAUCAUGGGGAAUACCAAAAGCGAAGGCAGCACACUGGCACAACACUGACGCUGAGGCACGAAAGCGUGGGUAGCGAAUGGGAUUAGAUACCCCAGUAGUCCACGCCCUAAACGAUGUUCAUUAGUCUUUCGGAGUAUCGACCCUCUGAGAGACGCAGCUAACGCGUUAAAUGAACCGCCUGGGAACUACGGCCGCAAGGCUAAAACUCAAAGGAAUAGACGGGGACUUGCACAAGCAGUGGAUUAUGUGGUUUAAUUCGACGAUAAACGAAGAACCUCACCAGGAUUUGACACCUACGUGUAAGCUCUAAGAAACUAGAGCCCCCGCAAGGCUCGUAGGCAGGUGAUGCAUGGUCGUCGUCAGUUCGUGGUUUGAAUUGUUCCCUUAAGUGGGGUAACGAACGCAACCCUCGUCGUGUGUUACAAGUGUCACGCGAGACCGCCCAGCCCAAAGAUUACAUCCGGACUUUCUGUGAUGAAAACAAUGUAUUUAUACAAUGUUUUCAUCACAGAGGGUCUGGUGGGAUAUAGAGUGAUGAAAAGUAAUGUAUUUAUACAAUACUUUUCAUCACCCUCUAUCUCAUAUUGAUGCAGUUUUCGGGCUGGGAGGAAGGAGAGGAUGACGCCAGAUCAGCAUGUCCCUUUGAUAUCCUGGGCUACACACAUAAUACAAUCGCCAUUACAACGGGUCGCGACGAGGUAACUCUGAGCCAAUCCUAUAAAAAUGGCGCCAGUUCGGAUUGAGGUCUGAAACUCGACCUCAUGAAGUUGGAAUUGCUAGUAAUCGCGGGUCAGCCAUACCGCGGUGAAUACGUUCUCAAGUCUUGUACACACCGCCCGUC